rnacentral:misc_RNA from 1 species
UGGUUUGGUGUGUAUAUGGUUUCAAUUUAUGGUAGCAAAAAUGUAAAAUGCUAUAUAUUCUUGACACUAACGAUAGAAAAACUUUCCUUAGCUUAGAUUGUGAUAGCUCAGUAUGUGUCAUAGAAUCCAAUUUCACAAUAUCUCUUUACUUUUCUCCUUUAUGUCAUGUGGUCAACUUUACAGUAUGUUUGUAAGGGUGGAAAGUGAGGGAAAGAAAGAGAGGAAAGAAAAUAAUGAGAUAUUCUCUGUUUUGCAAGAUGAAGUAAAAUGGAGAGAGAAAAAUAAAUGAUGAUGUUUAGGCUUGUGGUUUGGUGUGUAUAUGGUUUCAAUUUAUGGUAGCAAAAAUGUAAAAUGCUAUAUAUUCUUGACACUAACGAUAGAAAAACUUUCCUUAGCUUAGAUUGUGAUAGCUCAGUAUGUGUCAUAGAAUCCAAUUUCACAAUAUCUCUUUACUUUUCUCCUUUAUGUCAUGUGGUCAACUUUACAGUAUGUUUGUAAGGGUGGAAAGUGAGGGAAAGAAAGAGAGGAAAGAAAAUAAUGAGAUAUUCUCUGUUUUGCAAGAUGAAGUAAAAUGGAGAGAGAAAAAUAAAUGAUGAUGUUUAGGCUUG